rnacentral:rRNA from 1 species
UACGUAGGGUGCAAGCGUUGUCCGGAAUUACUGGGCGUAAAGCGUGCGUAGACGGUAGCGUAAGUCAGAUGUGAAAGCCCCGGGCUCAACCUGGGAAUUGCAUUUGAGACUGCUCUGCUCGGGUGCGGAAGAGGGAAGCGGAAUUUCCGGUGUAGCGGUGAAAUGCGUAGAUAUCGGAAGGAACACCAGUGGCGAAAGCGGCUUCCUGGUCCGACACCGACGUUCAGGCACGAAAGCGUGGGGAGCAAACAGG